rnacentral:rRNA from 1 species
CUUGCUUCUCUGAUGGUUAGCGGCGGACGGGUGAGUAACACGUAGGCAACCUGCCCUCAAGCUUGGGACAACUACCGGAAACGGUAGCUAAUACCGAAUAGUUGUUUUCUUCUCCUGAAGAGAACUGGAAAGACGGAGCAAUCUGUCACUUGGGGAUGGGCCUGCGGCGCAUUAGCUAGUUGGUGGGGUAACGGCUCACCAAGGCGACGAUGCGUAGCCGACCUGAGAGGGUGAUCGGCCACACUGGGACUGAGACACGGCCCAGACUCCUACGGGAGGCAGCAGUAGGGAAUCUUCCGCAAUGGGCGAAAGCCUGACGGAGCAAUGCCGCGUGAGUGAUGAAGGUUUUCGGAUCGUAAAGCUCUGUUGCCAGGGAAGAACGCUUGGGAGAGUAACUGCUCUCAAGGUGACGGUACCUGAGAAGAAAGCCCCGGCUAACUACGUGCCAGCAGCCGCGGUAAUACGUAGGGGGCAAGCGUUGUCCGGAAUUAUUGGGCGUAAAGCGCGCGCAGGCGGUCAUUUAAGUCUGGUGUUUAAUCCCGGGGCUCAACCCCGGAUCGCACUGGAAACUGGGUGACUUGAGUGCAGAAGAGGAGAGUGGAAUUCCACGUGUAGCGGUGAAAUGCGUAGAUAUGUGGAGGAACACCAGUGGCGAAGGCGACUCUCUGGGCUGUAACUGACGCUGA